rnacentral:rRNA from 1 species
AACCCACGUAUGUUGAAAAAUGCGGGGAUGACGUGUGGCUAGGGGUGAAAGGCCAAUCAAACCCGGAAAUAGCUGGUUCUCCGCGAAAUCUAUUUAGGUAGAGCGUCUCGUAUUACCCUCGGGGGUAGAGCACUGGAUGGGCUAGGGGGUCCCACAGACUUACCAAACCUAACCAAACUCCGAAUACCGGUGAGUAGAGCACGGCAGACAGACGGUGGGUGCUAAGGUCCAUCGUCGAGAGGGAAACAGCCCAGACCGCCAGCUAAGGUCCCUAAAUCACGUGCUAAGUGGGAAAGGAUGUGGGACGGCCAUGACAACCAGGAGGUUGGCUUAGAAGCAGCCACCCUUUAAAGAGUGCGUAAUAGCUCACUGGUCAAGUGAUUCCGCGCCGACAAUGUAGCGGGGCUCAAGUCAUCCGCCGAAGCUAUGGCAUUCAGC